rnacentral:rRNA from 1 species
AGAGUUUGAUCCUGGCUCAGGAUGAACGCUGGCGGCGUGCCUAACACAUGCAAGUCGAACGAAGCUUGACGGAUGAUUUCUUCGGAAUGAAACCUGAUAUGACUUAGUGGCGGACGGGUGAGUAACACGUGAGCAACCUGCCUUUCAGAGGGGGAUAACGGCUGGAAACGGUCGCUAAUACCGCAUGAUGUGUUCGGAUGGCAUCAUCUGAACAUCAAAGAUUUAUCGCUGAAAGAUGGGCUCGCGUCUGAUUAGAUAGUUGGUGGGGUAACGGCCUACCAAGUCUACGAUCAGUAGCCGGACUGAGAGGUUGAACGGCCACAUUGGGACUGAGAUACGGCCCAGACUCCUACGGGAGGCAGCAGUGGGGAAUAUUGCACAAUGGGGGAAACCCUGAUGCAGCAACGCCGCGUGAAGGAUGACGGUUUUCGGAUUGUAAACUUCUUUUCUUAGUGAUGAAGACAGUGACGGUAGCUAAGGAAUAAGCAUCGGCUAACUACGUGCCAGCAGCCGCGGUAAUACGUAGGAUGCAAGCGUUAUCCGGAUUUACUGGGUGUAAAGGGAGCGCAGGCGGGACUGCAAGUUGGAUGUGAAAUACCGUGGCUUAACCACGGAACUGCAUCCAAAACUGUAGUUCUUGAGUGAAGUAGAGGCAAGCGGAAUUCCGAGUGUAGCGGUGAAAUGCGUAGAUAUUCGGAGGAACACCAGUGGCGAAGGCGGCUUGCUGGGCUUUAACUGACGCUGAGGCUCGAAAGUGUGGGGAGCAAACAGGAUUAGAUACCCUGGUAGUCCACACUGUAAACGAU